rnacentral:rRNA from 1 species
UACGAACCGUGCGAACGUUAUUCGGAAUCACUGGGCUUAAAGCGCGUGUAGGCGGGACGGCACGUCUGUCGCUGAAAUCCCCCGGCUUAACCGGGGAACUGGCGGAGAUACGACCGUCCUGGAGGGGCGUAGGGGGAUCUGGAACUUCCGGUGGAGCGGUGAAAUGCGUUGAGAUCGGAAGGAACGCCCGUGGCGAAAGCGAGGUCCUGGACGCCUACUGACGCUGAGACGCGAAAGCCAGGGGAGCGAACGGG